UUUCAGCCAAUUAAGCCGACAGUGCUCUUUUCCCCGCAGGGGCCCAGUGUGUAAUGGCUCAAACAACAGCCUCCUCGGUAGUGCAUGCAGCCUGUUGCCUGUACAGGUUGCCCUAAGGGACCUUGGAGAUGGUC